rnacentral:rRNA from 1 species
UACAGAGGUCCCAAGCGUUGUUCGGAUUCACUGGGCGUAAAGGGUGCGUAGGUGGCCGGGUAAGUCUGACGUGAAAUCUCCGAGCCUAACUCGGAAACUGCGUCGGAUACUAUCCGGCUCGAGGGUUGGAGGGGGGACUGGAAUACUUGGUGUAGCAGUGAAGUGCGUAGAUAUCAAGUGGAACACCAGUGGCGAAGGCGAGUCCCUGGACAACUCCUGACACUGAGGCACGAAAGCUAGGGGAGCAAACAGG